rnacentral:rRNA from 1 species
ACGGAAGGCAGCAGUGGGGGAUAUUGCGCAAUGGGGGAAACCCUGACGCAGCAACGCCGCGUGAAGGAAGGAGGUUUUCGGAUUGUAAACUUCUUUUAUGAGGGACGAAGAAGUGACGGUACCUCAUGAAUAAGCUCCGGCUAACUACGUGCCAGCAGCCGCGGUAAUACGUAGGGAGCGAGCGUUAUCCGGAUUUACCGGGUGUAAAGGGUGCGUAGGCGGCUAAACAAGUCAGGUGUGAAAUGUAUGGGCUCAACUCAUAAAUUGCACUUGAAACUGUAUAGCUUGAGUGAAGUAGAGGCAGGCGGAAUUCCCUGUGUAGCGGUGAAAUGCGUAGAGAUAGGGAGGAACACCAGUGGCGAAGGCGGCCUGCUGGGCUUUAACUGACGCUGAGGCACGAAAGCGUGGGUAGCAAACAGGAUUAGAUACCCUGGUA